GUGCGCAAGAGUGGGCCAUCUUCGUAGCGCCGGGGUCUCUCCGUCACAGGGGGCGUUCACGAGCCGUCGACCAGAACGCGUGGAGUCAUCUGAGCUGUGGUCCACGACGGUAGUCCAGGUCGUUCCGAAAACCUGAGCCAUGGCGACACGAGAACCCUGGGUCCCGUGCUUUCUGCGGCGGCGCGGCAAUGUCGGCCGACGGGCUGGAGUUCCGACGGAUCCCGUUGACCGGUGAGUUUUCCUUUCCCGGUGUUCGUCUUUCGAUUGCUUGUUUGCCUUGGGGGCCCGGAUUUUCGGUCCACGAUUUUGGUGACCGCCCACAGCUCACCACCACCGCCGGUGAGCGGUGACUAUGCUUCGACUCGCACGUUUCCUCCUAGGGAGGAGCUUGCGGACAUCCUGGAACAUCAAGAUCCGGUCUCCCCCAAGCUGCUGCCGCCCCGUGAUGCAAUCCGGCUAUGCCGGCUGAUUCCAAUGUUGGGUCAGGCUGCGCGCGGCAUGAAGGUAACCGCGGCCCCGUGAGGCCGGGAGGGGAAUUCCUGGCAAAAACAACGCUUCUACGACUUCUUCUGCACAAUCCAAUGGGAGGGAGAACCCCGAAGCACUGGGUGGACGAAAAGGUUGCGGCUGGGCAGUGCACCACCAGACAGAAGUGCUGUCGGCCUUCAGUUGUCGGUAUACUGACAUGAUGGUAAAUGCAGGUGUUGAUUAUGGUGGAACAGGGGCUCACGGUGGUACAGAAGUGCAGAAUUUCAUAGAGGGUCAUUUCCAGAGGAAGGGAGUAGACUAAGGCGAGUGGUGCUAGGAAUCCGACAGGUGAUCCGGCGGUGAAGAGUGAGUGGGGAGAGAAGUUCCCUCAUUCCAUCUGACUAAACCAUGACGAGCCAUCGCUUCGGGAUGUUCUUUGGUUCUACGACAACAUGCUGGGUUGUUCUGAGGAAACUUUCGAAGAAAUGGUUUAGGCACGUCAAUCCAUUUGCCGCGGUGAUGUUCGAGCAAGACCUGAAAGGAAGAACUAGGAGAGGAGUUUUCGAUCCUGUGUUGUGUGGUAAGUGUCUCACUGUCUGUGAUCCACCAUUGGAACGUGAUAACAUACAUAGUGCUGUCUUUGACUGGUGUGCACUUCUUCGCAUAUGGUAAUUACCUCCAACCUUGGUCAAGUCAGAUGGCCAACUCAUGACGUACGGCCACUGGACUACCCACUGCCCUGCUGUUGCUGCCUACACUUUUGGGAAGUUAAUAUCUGUUGUCUCUUGAAUGAUCACGUAAAACUAUCUGAAGUGCACUUUCAAACGAAAUAAAAAACUUUUUUGUGAUACAUAUAUACUGCAUGGAGGAUACCAGGGCAUGCAGCUUGCACAUUGCACGACAUUACGACAGCAUAAAACUGAAACUUCCCUUGAUGAAGUACAAUAUGAUGAACAAACUUAAGAGGCAAGCCCUCCACGAGUGUCUGAAGUUACAAGGAAACACCUCGACGUUGGCACGCGAGGCAUUGUGGGCAGUCCUAGCACCUGGUGACUCUUACUUCGUAUGAAACCCUCUUCUGCCUGAAAACAUGUCCUGGAAGCGAACUUCCUCUAGCAGAUUGUCCCAUGCGCCUUACCUAAUGUACCAUCUUAGGCAUUACUACGAUCUCCACUGACCAUCAUUUUAAGAUGUUGUAUCGAACAUUUGAGCCUAGUAUAUUGCUUUUUGCUCACUUCGUAGCUUGUUUUUUAGAUUCAUGCAAGGAACAAUCACUGUUUUACAAUCAUCCUUCAGUGUACUC